rnacentral:rRNA from 1 species
GACGAACGCUGGCGGCGUGCUUAACACAUGCAAGUCGAACGGAAAGGCCCUGCUUUUUUGGGGUGCUCGAGUGGCGAACGGGUGAGUAACACGUGAGUAACCUGCCCUUGACUUUGGUAUAACUUCAGGAAACUGGGGCUAAUACCGGAUAGGAGCUCCUGCUGCAUGGUGGGGGUUGGAAAGUUUCGGCGGUUGGGGAUGGACUCGCGGCUUAUCAGCUUGUUGGUGGGGUAGUGGCUUACCAAGGCUUUGACGGGUAGCCGGCAUGAGAGGGUGACCGGCCACAUUGGGACUGAGAGACGGCCCAGACUCCUACGGGAGGCAGCAGUGGGGAAUAUUGCACAAUGGGCGGAAGCCUGAUGCAGCAACGCCGCGUGCGGGAUGACGGCCUGCGGGUUGUAAACCGCUUUCGCCUGUGACGAAGCGUGAGUGACGGUAAUGGGUAAAGAAGCACCGGCUAACUACGUG